GAUGAACGCUGGCGGCGUGCCUAAUACAUGCAAGUCGAGCGAACAGACGAGGAGCUUGCUCCUCUGACGUUAGCGGCGGACGGGUGAGUAACACGUGGAUAACCUACCUAUAAGACUGGGAUAACUUCGGGAAACCGGAGCUAAUACCGGAUAAUAUAUUGAACCGCAUGGUUCAAUAGUGAAAGACGGUUUUGCUGUCACUUAUAGAUGGAUCCGCGCCGCAUUAGCUAGUUGGUAAGGUAACGGCUUACCAAGGCAACGAUGCGUAGCCGACCUGAGAGGGUGAUCAGCCACACUGGAACUGAGACACGGUCCAGACUCCUACGGGAGGCAGCAGUAGGGAAUCUUGCGCAAUGGGCGAAAGCCUGACGGAGCAACGCCGCGUGAGUGAUGAAGGUCUUCGGAUCGUAAAACUCUGUUAUUAGGGAAGAAAAAAUGUGUAAGUAACUAUGCACGUCUUGACGGUACCUAAUCAGAAAGCCACGGCUAACUACGUG
rnacentral:rRNA from 1 species